rnacentral:tRNA from 1 species
AGCUUCGGUAAUAACCCGAAAAAGAAUA